rnacentral:rRNA from 1 species
GUGCCAGCAGCCGCGGUAAUACGUAGGGUGCGAGCGUUGUCCGGAAUUACUGGGCGUAAAGAGCUCGUAGGUGGUUUGUCGCGUCGUCUGUGAAAUUCCGGGGCUUAACUCCGGGCGUGCAGGCGAUACGGGCAUAACUUGAGUGCUGUAGGGGAGACUGGAAUUCCUGGUGUAGCGGUGAAAUGCGCAGAUAUCAGGAGGAACACCAAUGGCGAAGGCAGGUCUCUGGGCAGUAACUGACGCUGAGGAGCGAAAGCAUGGGUAGCGAACAGGAUUAGAUACCCUGGUAGUCCAUGCCGUAAACGGUGGGCGCUAGGUGUGGGGGUCUUCCACGACUUCUGUGCCGUAGCUAACGCAUUAAGCGCCCCGCCUGGGGAGUACGGCCGCAAGGCUAAAACUCAAAGGAAUUGACGGGGGCCCGCACAAGCGGCGGAGCAUGUGGAUUAAUUCGAUGCAACGCGAAGAACCUUACCUGGGCUUGACAUAUGCAGGAUCGGCACAGAGAUGUGUUUUCCCUUGUGGUCUGUAUACAGGUGGUGCAUGGUUGUCGUCAGCUCGUGUCGUGAGAUGUUGGGUUAAGUCCCGCAACGAGCGCAACCCUUGUCUUGUGUUGCCAGCACGUUAUGGUGGGGACUCGCGAGAGACUGCCGGGGUUAACUCGGAGGAAGGUGGGGAUGACGUCAAAUCAUCAUGCCCCUUAUGUCCAGGGCUUCACACAUGCUACAAUGGUCGGUACAGUGGGUUGCGAUACCGCGAGGUGGAGCUAAUCCCUUAAAGCCGGUCUCAGUUCGGAUUGGAGUCUGCAACUCGACCUCAUGAAGUCGGAGUCGCUAGUAAUCGCAGAUCAGCAACGCUGCGGUGAAUACGUUCCCGGGCCUUGUACACACCGCCCGU